rnacentral:rRNA from 1 species
GCUAAAAACCUAGCUCUAAUUAUAACAUAUGCACCCUCCCUCCACUACCACCUUAAACUAAAACAUUUAUAUAUUUAAGUAAAGGAGAUUGAAAAAUUUUAAGAAGCAAUAAACCUAGUACCGCAAGGGAAAGAUGAAAUACGAAUGAAAGACCUUUAAGCAAAAAAAAGUAGAGUCCAACCCUCGUACCUUUUGCAUCAUGGUUCAACUAGUCCAAUCAAGCAAAAAGAAUUUAAGUUUGACCCCCCGAAACUAAGCGAGCUACUUCAAGGCAGCUUAAUGAGCUAACCCGUCUCUGUUGCAAAAGAGUGGGGAGACCUUCAAGUAGUGGCGACAUACCUAACGAGCUUAGUGAUAGCUGGUUACUCAAGAAAAGGAUUUUAGUCCAACCUAAAGUCUCCAUCUUUCUAAUAAAAAUCCCUCGACUUUAGAGUAAUUCAAAUAAGGUACAGCCUAUUUGAAACAGGAUACAACCUCAUAUGACGGGUAAAACCACCGCUUAAAACCCCAAGUAGGCCUAAGAGCAGCCACCUUUUAAAAAACGUCACAGCUUAGUCUUAUUCAGCCUUUUAAUCUCCCACCACAGCUUUAACCCUCUCACACUAUUGAGUAAUUCUAUACUUAUAUAGAAAAUUUUAUGUUGAAACUAGUAACAAGAAGAAUUAGACCUUCUCUUAAAUGCAAACAUAAGUCAGAAAGGACAGACCACUGAUAAUUAACGCCCUUGAACAAGCAUUAGCAACUCAACUCAAGAAAAACCUAAUUAAAACUCACGUUAACCUAACACAAGAGCAUUUCAAGAAAGAUUAAAAGAAAAAGAAGGAACUCGGCAAAUAUUAACCCCGCCUGUUUACCAAAAACAUCGCCUCUUGAGUAAAAAUAAGAGGUCCAGCCUGCCCAGUGACCAAUGUUCAACGGCCGCGGUAUCCUAACCGUGCGAAGGUAGCGUAAUCACUUGUUCUUUAAAUGGGGACUAGUAUGAAUGGCACCACGAGGGUUACACUGUCUCCUUUCUCUAAUCAGUGAAACUAAUCUCCCCGUGAAGAAGCGGGGAUACAGCUAUAAGACGAGAAGACCCUAUGGAGCUUUAAAUUUCUCUUCAAACGCUAGCCCCUCUUAACAGUCGCAGACUUACUACACCUACAUCAGCGCCAUGAAGAUGACUUUUAGGUUGGGGUGACCGCGGAGUACAAAAAAACCUCCACGCUGAAUCAGGUCCAAAAACCUUGAACAAAGGGCCACAACCCGAAACACUAAAAAAUUAACAUCAAUUGACCCAAUACUCUAUUGAUCAACGAACCAAGUUACCCUAGGGAUAACAGCGCAAUCUACUUCAAGAGUCCCUAUCGACAAGUGGGUUUACGACCUCGAUGUUGGAUCAGGGUGUCCCAGUGGUGCAGCCGCUACUAAUGGUUCGUUUGUUCAACGAUUAAAACCCU